GUUGCCAGCCGCCGCGGUAAUUAGAAACCCGGUAGUCCAAGUGAUGGCCGAUCUUAUUGGGCCUAAAGCGUCCGUAGCUGGCCACGCAAGUCCAUCGGGAAAUCCACCUGCCCAACAGGUGGGCGCCCGGUAGAAACUGCGUGGCUCGGGACCGGAAGGCGCGACGGGUACGUCCGGGGUAGGAGUGAAAUCCCGUAAUCCUGGACGGACCGCCGAUGGCGAAAGCACGUCGCGAGAACGGAUCCGACAGUGAGGGACGAAAGCCAGGGUCUCGAACCGGAUU
rnacentral:rRNA from 1 species